AGUACCGAAACUGUGGAUGUGUUUUAAAGAGCACGUGGUAGGAGAGCGUUCUAAGAGCGGAGAAGUUGAAUCGAGAGGAUCAAUGGAGCGCUUAGAAGUGAGAAUGCCGGUAUGAGUAGCGAAAGAUAGGUGAGAAUCCUAUCCGCCGAAAGACUAAGGUUUCCUGGGGCAGGCUCGUCCGCCCAGGGUAAGUCGGGACCUAAGGCAAGGCCGAGAGGCGUAGUCGAUGGAUAACAGGUAGAGAUUCCUGUACUGUGUUCAAUCGUUAUGAGCGAUGGAGGGACGCAGGAGGUGAAGCACGCAUCGAGCUGGAUCGAUGUUCAAGCGACAAGUGCGGUUAAGAGUCAAAUGCUUCUAACCAGCAACACGAGUCGUGAUGAGGAGUGAAUUAAAAGUAGCGAAGGUGUGGUAAUCACACUGCCAAGAAAAGCUUCUAGCCAGAGAUGACAUACCCGUACCGCAAACCGACACAGGUAGUCGAGUGGAGAACACUAAGGUGAG
rnacentral:rRNA from 1 species